CCUACGGGGGGCUGCAGUGAGGAAUAUUGGUCAAUGGAGGCAACUCUGAACCAGCCAAGUCGCGUGAAGGAUGAAGGUCUUAUGGAUUGUAAACUUCUUUUGCAAGGGAAUAAAGUGGGGGACGUGUCCUCCUUUGCAUGUACCUUGCGAAUAAGGAUCGGCUAACUCCGUGCCAGCAGCCGCGGUAAUACGGAGGAUCCGAGCGUUAUCCGGAUUUAUUGGGUUUAAAGGGUGCGCAGGCGGGAUGUUAAGUCGGCGGUGAAAUUUUGCAGCUCAACUGUAAAAGUGCCUUCGAUACUGGCUUUCUUGAGUGUGGAUGAAGUAGGCGGAAUUUGUGGUGUAGCGGUGAAAUGCUUAGAUAUCACGAGGAACUCCGAUUGCGCAGGCAGCUUACUAAACCACUACUGACGCUCAUGCACGAAGGCGUGGGGAUCAAACAGGAUUAGAUACCCUGGUAGUC
rnacentral:rRNA from 1 species